AUUGAACGCUGGCGGCAGGCUUAACACAUGCAAGUCGAGCGAGCGGCGGACGGGUGAGUAAUGUCUGGGAAACUGCCUGAUGGAGGGGGAUAACUACUGGAAACGGUAGCUAAUACCGCAUACCAUCAGAUGUGCCCAUCUUGGAUUAGCUAGUAGGUGGGGUAAUGGCUCACCUAGGCGACGAUCCCUAGCUGGUCUGAGAGGAUGACCGGCCAAACUGGAACGGAGACACGGUCCAGACUCCUGCGGGAGGCAGCAGUGGGGAAUAUUGCACAAUGGGCGCAAGCCUGCGGCAGCCAGGCCGCGUGUGUGAAGAAGGCCUUCGGGUUGUAAAGCACUUUCAGCGAGGAGACGUUACUCGCAGAAGAAGCACCGGCUAACUCCGUGCCAGCAGCCGCGGUAAUUC
rnacentral:rRNA from 1 species